rnacentral:rRNA from 1 species
CGGGACCGCAGGGUCAGUGGCGCCGGGUGAGUAAUGUAUCGCUAAUGUACCCCGGUGUCUGGGAUAGCUGACCGAAAGGUCAGGUAAUACCAGAUGAUAUAACUUGAUCGCAUGAUCGAGUUCUCAAAGGAGCAAUCCGUACUGGGAGCAGGCGAUAUCGUAUCAGCUUGUUGGUGAGGUAACGGCUCACCAAGGCGACGACGCGUAGCUGGUCUGAGAGGACGGCCAGCCACAUCGGGACUGAGACACUGCCCGGACUCCUACGGGGGGCUGCAGUAACGAAUCUUCCGCAAUGCACGAAAGUGUGACGGAGCGACGCCGCGUGUGGGACGAAGCCCUUCGGGGUGUAAACCACUGUCAGGGGUAAGAAAGUUCUGAUCUACCCCAGAGGAAGGCACGGCUAACUCUGUGCCAGCAGCCGCGGUAAGACAGAGGUGCCGAGCGUUAGGCGGAAUCACUGGGCUUAAAGCGUGUGUAGGCGGGUCGUCAAGUGCCUUGUGAAAUCCCACAGUUCACCUGUGGAACUGCUUGGCAUACUGGCGAUCUUGAG